AUCCUCUACUGUUCACCUCCCCUUAGGCCACUGACAAAACACUCUUCAAACUGUACCUGAAACACCGCAGGAAGCACUGCGCUAAGUUACAAGUUCACCGAACCGUGGGUCAUGAUAGUGUUUUACAGUCCCAAACUCUGCUCUGCUUGAAGGCUUAAUCUCAUUAAGCAGCACGGCAAUGAGAAGAGACUACUAUUCCUACCUUUGGAAAGCUCUGAAAGUAAUUAAGCUCAUGUAUGUGGGGAAUCACUUAGGUGUGAACUAUGAAAAGAAAAGUUGAACAAAGUCACAAAGACAUCAAAAGCUCCAAACUAAAAUGCGGGCCACGAAAGUGCAUCUUUUUGUGUUGUUCUAAAUUAGGUUAAAUAGUUAUUCUGAAAGAAGGGACUAGCUCUUCUCAUCAUCAAGGCAGAAGACAUGCCACUUGACUUUCGAGUCUCACCAACACAGAAUCAGGAUUGAAUAUACAAUUCAAUUCCAUAAAACAGUAGCCUUCAGAAUUAUUAAAGCAUUUUUUAUCAUGACA